CCUACGGGGAGCUGCAGUGGGGAAUAUUGGACAAUGGGCGAAAGCCUGGUCCAGCCAUGCCGCGUGUGUGAAGAAGGCCUUCGGGUUGUAAAGCACUUUCAGUGGGGAAGAAAGCCUUGGGGCUAAUACCCUCGAGGAAGGACAUCACCCACAGAAGAAGCACCGGCUAACUCCGUGCCAGCAGCCGCGGUAAUACGGAGGGUGCGAGCGUUAAUCGGAAUUACUGGGCGUAAAGCGCGCGUAGGCGGUCUGAUAAGCCGGUUGUGAAAGCCCCGGGCUCAACCUGGGAACGGCAUCCGGAACUGUCAGGCUAGAGUGCAGGAGAGGAAGGUAGAAUUCCCGGUGUAGCGGUGAAAUGCGUAGAGAUCGGGAGGAAUACCAGUGGCGAAGGCGGCCUUCUGGACUGACACUGACGCUGAGGUGCGAAAGCGUGGGUAGCAAACAGGAUUAGAUACCCGAGUAGUC
rnacentral:rRNA from 1 species